rnacentral:rRNA from 1 species
CCUACGGGAGGCAGCAGUAGGGGAUAUUGCACAAUGGGGGGAACCCUGAUGCAGCGACGCCGCGUGAGCGAAGAAGUACCUCGGUAUGUAAAGCUCUAUCAGCAGGGAAGAAAAUGACGGUACCUGACUAAGAAGCCCCGGCUAAAUACGUGCCAGCAGCCGCGGUAAUACGUAGGGGGCAAGCGUUAUCCGGAUUUACUGGGUGUAAAGUGAGCGCAGGCGGCCUGCCAAGUCUGGUGUGAAAACCCGGGGCUCAACCCCGGGCCUGCAUUGGAAACUGGCGGGCUGGAGUGUCGGAGGGGCAGGCGGAACUCCUAGUGUAGCGGUGAAAUGCGUAGAUAUUAGGAGGAACACCGGUGGCGAAGGCGGCCUGCUGGACGAUGACUGACGCUGAGGCUCGAAAGCGUGGGGAGCAAACAGGAUUAGAUACCCCAGUAGUC